rnacentral:pre_miRNA from 1 species
AUACCAUUUGAUCCGUCGGUCUGCCGAGCAAUUUCACCCGCUCGGUGGAAAAUGUUCCCUUUGUCGU